rnacentral:lncRNA from 1 species
CUGUUUCAUCAAUUCUUUCUUUGUUCUUUCUUUAAAUUAGGAAGAAUUAUCAAAAGCUAAUAGAAAUUUUAAAGACUGGCUCUUGCACUCAUUCAUGCUGACCUGAAAAAGGUCUAUUAUCUGUCUCAUUGCACAAUACAAAGUCUCCCCGCCAAAAGAUGUAUUAGUGCCUUUAGCUAUUCAAGGGAUUCAACUGAUUGAGCAUGGUUGAGUCAUUAUAACUUGAUUUAUAAGACUUUUAAAGAUUGUCCUUGAUGGACUCAGGACCUGCCUGGAGACCAACUAGGGAACCUCUCCAGGAGUCAUGCCAUCUGACCUUCAAGACUGUGAAGGCAAUAGAUGAUGUCAUCGCAUUUGCCAAGCAAAGCCCCAGAGAGCAAACUGCCUUUGACUUAGAGGAAUUUGAGAAUGCAAUCCAUUCUUUACAACUUCCUUUGCAGACCUCUGCACUUAAGCCUGAGGUAACCAACAAAUCCAGCAAAUUUUUAUUGAAAACCUAUGACAUCUCAGACAUUGUGGAAGACACUGAGGACGCAAAGCUAAGACCCAUUCCUUGCACUGAAGAAAUUCACAAUUGCAGGGAUAUUUUCUACAACAUCUACAAUAUUAAGAUUUUUUUUUUUUUUUUUUUUUUAGUCCCGCCCCUGCAGCAUAUGGAGAUUCCCAGGCUAGGGGUCCAAUCAGAGCUACAGCUGCCAGCCAACACUAUAGCCAUAGCAACACAGGACCUGAGCCACGUCUGCAACCUAUACCACAGCUCAUGGCGGCACCAGAUCCCCAACCCACUGAGCAAGGCCAGGGAUCGAAGCCGCAGCCUCAUGGUUCCUAGUUGGAUUUGUUUCCACCGUGCCAUGAUGGGAACUCCAAGAAGUUUAAUGUCUAUUUGAAUGCUUCCAGUCACAGAGUUCUCAGUACUCCACAUAACAGUCUAUUUCUUUGAAUGUCAAUGUAGGUUACUGGUUAAGGAAAAAGGUUCUGGAGCCACACCUCUCGUGCAUGGCCAUGUUAUAUAAGCUCACUGUGUCUCAGUUUCCUCAGUGGGGACAUGAGAAAAUAAUUGUAUUGAUUUCACUGCGCCGUUAUGAGGAUUGACUAAAUAAGUUAAUAUCUAUAAGUUAUUUCAGAUAGAAGCUAGUGCAUAGCAAGUAUGCAUGUUAAUGUUAGCUACUAUUGCUGAGAAGAAGAAAUGCUAGUAAACCUUGCUACACUAAGUGUAAAGCUGCCUUAGUCUAAGAUCCAUCCAACAGACCUAGCAUCACACACUCUUGGGCAAAGCCUGAACCAGGCUCAAGCACUGCACAAAAACAUUCCAAGCUGGUUGGCUGAGUUGCAAAGGUAGCAAGGUUCUGUGCAAUUCUUUUAGAAGAAAGUGCUACUGGGUUCUUAUCAGUUAAUGUAAUGAUUGUGUGGACUGUCCUCCUGAAAGAUGAGAAGAGCUUAAGAUGGGGUUUGCUUAUAAUUGUACUUGGAUGGCAUUAGAUUUCACAACUGAAAAACCUGAUUUUUUUUUUUUUUAAUAGCCGCAUCUGAGGCAUGUAGAAGUUCCUGGGCUAGGGAUUGAAUCAAUUGGAGCUGUGGCUACAGGCAUGUGCCAUAGCCGUGGCAACACUGGAUCCAAGCCACAUCUGUGACCUACACCACAGCUCAGGACAAUGCCAGAUCCUUGACCUACUGAGUGAAGCCAGGGAUAGAACCCACAUCUUCAAGGACACUCUGUUGGUUUCUUAACCCACUGAGCCACAAUGUGAACUCUGAAAAACUAGGUCUUUAUUGUACAAAUUCCAUGCGUGAAAAGUGCUGCUGUUGGUAUGAUAGAAGUUGGAAAGAUCAGUAAAAUAAAAACCCAGUUCCUUAGUGUGGGGUUCAGAACUUGAACUCUGCAAAGUGAUUUAAAUUUAAAUCUCAUCUCUGCCACCUUCCAGAUGUGUGACCUUGAGAAAAUAACUUCAAUUCACUGAGCUUAAAAUUCCUCGUCUAUAAAAUGAGAUGGUAAUAAUAAUACCUGUCACAGAGUAUGGUUUUGAGAAAUAAGUGAGAUGAUAUUUUAAAAUUAUUUGCCACAGAACCUAGAAUAUAAUAAAUAUCAAGUUAACACCAAGUACUUAUUAAUAUCAUCUAAGCUCCCAGUCUGAUGGGGGAAGAGGGAGAGAGACAGAUGGAUGCAUAAAUAACAAUCAUUAAAACUACAUGGUACUCAUAUAGUGUACAACAGAUAAACACAGAUAGGAGACAAUGGGAGAAGAAAAAAAAAAACAGAAAUUUUACUUGAGAUAAUGUUGCAUUACACGGUUGCAGAUAGGUAGAUAAAAAGCUUUUUCUAUCAUGUAUUUAUUCAUUCAUUCAACAGAAUUUUCGUGUGCUGGUCACUCUGCUGGGAGAUAGGGAUCAAUCUUGUUGAGGAAAUAGACUCCCCAAAGAGACAAAAACAAAGAUGCAAAAGGGUAAACAAAAUGUCCAAGGAGGGGCAAGACUGCUCUUCUGGAAGGGAAGUAAUGUGAUUGGAGAAAGCUUAAGACUGGAAUAUCACGGAGCCUUGGAAAGCCUUGGAACACCAGACUAAGGGAUGAGCCUUCAUCCUGUAGGCCAGUGGUUCUCAACCAGGGUGAUGGCAUUUGGUAAUAUCUUGAAACUGGAGCGGGGCUACUGGCACCUAGUGGGUAGAGGCCAGGGGUGCUGCUACACAUCCAGCAAUGUGUAGGACAGCCUCUUACAAAAAAUAAAAAUAAAUAAAUAAAGAGUGAUCUGGUCCAAAAUUUCAGGUGUGCUGAGGUUGAGAAUCUUUGCUCUAUGCAUUGGAAAGAUGAAGCAGGUUUUAGGGCUGGGAGUGAGAUGAUCAGCUAUGAAUCUGAUUCCUCUGAAGGAUGUAUGCUUGUGGGAGAUGCUGGAGUCAGGGAGACGAGAUAGAUGAAUUUGAAAUUGUUUGGGAAAAGGUGCUGAGGAGGGGUUAAAGGAGGAGACUGCUGAUGUGAGAGACACUGAGGGGGAAUAAUAGCUACUUCCUGCUACUAGGAUCAGCUAAUGCUACCUAAUGCUACCGGAUCAGCUGAAACAGUAUAAAGAAACAUUGAGUAUGAAAUAGAAACACAAUCAUUAGUUCUCUAGCUAUAUUUCCUUCCAGAUGUGUCUAAGUAAACUUUCAUUUUUUCUUUGAAAGGAUUAUUUAUUUUUUAUGAUUUUUAUUUUUUCCAUUAUAGUUGAUUUACAGUGUUCUGUCAAUUUCCACUGUGCAGCAAAGUGACCCAGCCAUAUAUAUAUUUUUUUUUUUCUCACAUUAUCCUCCAUCACAUUCCAUCACAAGUGACUAGAUAUAUUUCCCUGUGCUAUACAGUAGGAUCUCCUUGCUUAUCCACUCCAAAUGCAAUAAUUUACAUCUAUUAACCCCAGACUCCCAAUCCAUCCCACUCCCUCCCCAUUCCCCUUGACCACCACAAGUCUGUUCUCCAAGUCCAUGAGUUUCUCUCAGUUUUGGUUACUUUUAGAUUUACAGAAAAGUGAAGCUAAUCAGAGAAUUCCCAUAUACCCAUCACCCAGUUUCCCCUGAUGUUAAUACCUUUCACAAAUGUGAUAAGUUUGUCAAAAGUCAAUGAUAAACUCUAUUUUAAAUUUCACCAGUUUUUCCACUCAUGUCCUUUUUCUGUUUCAGGAUCCGUUCCAGGACAUCAGAGUUCAUUUAGCUUCCAUGUAUUUUUUGUGUGUAUUUGUUUGUUGAAAAACAAAUGCAUUCACAGUAUGUAAAGUCACCUCCUCUCCAGAGGUCUGAGCAGACCCAAAUAAGGUUAAACCGUUGUGCUUUGGUGGAGCUGUGGGCUUUACUCAGAGUUCUCAGUAGCUUCUAUCUUGGCAGGAACUCCACUCUGCAACUGACACUUUCUUCUGUAAGUGGAAUUACUAAAUUAAGCCAAACUGUAGUUUUAAAUGGUUUCCUUUUAGAAGAAUUAAUUACCUGAGUUUGGUAGUAUGAGAUUCAAGUUAAAAGAAACUUCCUAUUCCAGGUACUCUUUUUUUUUAAAAAAAAAAAAAAAGAUUUUUAAAAAAAUAACCCAAAUUAUCAAAACAGAUUGUUGAGCCAGUUCAAAUAACCCUCAGUACCAGUAUAUGUGCUUCAUUGUUUGAACUGGUGCUCCAGUUUGACCGCUUUUGCCUCAUCUGUCCUUGCCUUUGUGGUCAACCCUCCCAGAGUGGCUCAGAGAAGCCAGAUGUGGGUAACUGGCCACCUCGCAUCUUACCCUGGACUGUUUCCCCUCCCCCUUGCCUUCCUGCUGCCUUUAUCCCCUUCGUUCUGGUUCUUCCGUUUCCUGGCUUCUUACGCCAAAUCCUGAUGCCCACCUCAGUUCCUUUUACUUGUUUUGUUUAUUUUCAUUUUUAUACAAAACUAUCCCAUUCAUCCACAUUUUUGGAGAAAAUUAGAACCUACAGAUAAGCAUAAAGGAAAAAUUGAAAUUAUCUAUAAUCCUAUUAAUACUAAUAUCCUUACAUUCUGUUUUCUAAAAUAGACAUGUACAUUCUCUCUAAAUAGGCUCAUAUAGUGAUAACAACAUAACGACGUGUAGCAUCUGUGCCCCUAUGAAGUCGGUUAAUCCUCAAAAUGUCCCAUGAAGGGAUACUAUUGUUAUCUGCACUGUACAGGUGGGGAGAGUAAGUGCUUUGCCUGAGAUUGUAUGGCUGGGAAGUGGAGGAGCUGAUAUUAGAAAAACCAGAUUCCAGGAGUUCCUAGUGUGGCUCAGCAGGUUAAGGACCCAAAGUUGUCUCUGUGAGCAUAGCGGUUCAAUCCUUGGCCUGGCUCAGUGAGUUAAGGAUCCAGAGUUGCUAUAAGCUGUGGUGUAGGUUGCAGAUGCUGCUCGGAUC